GGCUGAAACUCGCCUACAUNAAGCUGGAGUUGCUAGUAAUCGCGAAUCAGCAUGUCGCGGUGAAUACGUUCCCGGGCCUUGUACACACCGCCCGUCACACCAUGAGAGUUGGCAAUACCCAACGUACGUGAUCUAACCCGCAAGGGAGGAAGCGUCCUAAGGUAGGGUCAGCGAUUGGGGUGAAGUCGUAACAAGGUACC
rnacentral:rRNA from 1 species